rnacentral:rRNA from 1 species
UACAGAGGGUGCGAGCGUUAAUCGGAAUUACUGGGCGUAAAGCGCGCGUAGGCGGCUUUGCAAGUCGGGUGUGAAAUCCCCAGGCUUAACCUGGGAACUGCAUUCGAGACUGCAUUGCUAGAGUAUGGGAGAGGGAAGUGGAAUUUACGGUGUAGCGGUGAAAUGCGUAGAUAUCGUAAGGAAGACCAGUGGCGAAGGCGGGUCUCUGGACAGUUCCUGACGCUGAGGCACGAAGGUCAGGGGAGCAAACGGG